rnacentral:rRNA from 1 species
CCUACGGGAGGCAGCAGUGGGGAAUAUUGGACAAUGGGCGGAAGCCUGAUCCAGCCAUGCCGCGUGUGUGAAGAAGGCCUUCGGGUUGUAAAGCACUUUCAGCGAGGAAGAACGCCUAGUGGUUAAUACCCAUUAGGAAAGACAUCACUCGCASAAGAAGCACCGGCUAACUCCGUGCCAGCAGCCGCG